rnacentral:lncRNA from 7 species
GCACAGAUGACAAAAAUAGGCAGGUGGUAUUGUUGCUGGUGGGGUGGCAGUGGGUGCAUCAGAACAUCUAACCUACCCUCUGUUAUCAGCGUAGGCCAGGUGCUACAUUUUGAACGUCGGGGUCUGCUGCUGACCUUAAGUUACUGGGAGCUCUGAAACCGUUCCAGUUGCAUUGGUGCCUUGACUCAUCACUGUUUAGACACAGGUAAGGACUUAAGAGUUUUACUGGUUGAAAAACGACGUAAUAAAACUUUGCUUGAAGCAAACUGUUAACCUUUAACAUUAGGUAAUGUCAAUAAUUACAUACAAGAGGUAUGCUAUGCAAAUAAUAGGUAUAAAUAUAAUUUUCCUGUUGAUUUUUGCAUGCUCUUACGGUAUGUGGUGCCAGGACUAACGUUUUUUAGCCCCAGUGAGACUUGGAUGCAGUCUCAGUUUCUAUGCAAGUUGUUGCAUAAGCUACAUAGAACUGAGAUGACGGACUGUUGAGAGCGCAGUAGUUUCUUACAGACUACCUCUGGCAGGGAUAGUAUGGAGUACCAUGUUAGAUGUUUGGUGUUUCAGGUGGGGGGAGUUCCUAGUAUGAAUGUGGUGAAGUGAAGGUCGUUAGAGAUGCUUUUAAUGUCCUUUGGCAGCUCACAAAGUACCUUACUGUUACAGUCUGUGUCUCUAGGGUUGCAUACUUACUUCUGCUUCCUCACCGUGUUUCCUUAGGCUAUUGCUCUCACCGGGUGUUCUUAGUAUAUCACUGAGCUUUCUCUUACGUAUGUACAUGGUGAAUAACUCACCUGAGUUCAUUACAGAAUGCAGGACUUGCAGGUGGCAGCUGAGAGAGCGUUCACAAACAGCUGGUCACCACGAAGGCAUGCCGAGUGAUGAAGAACUGGCUCUGACAGAGGAGUGGAAAGAGAAGUUUCCCGACUCUUACUGAUGCUUACAUCGGUUUUUGCCUGCCUAAGCUUUUAAAUCCAUUAGUCAGAGUUCAGUUAAUAAACUGGAGUCCCCUUGAGGUAGGUGCAUCACCAGACUUUAUUUUUGUGAAAAAAAUAUUCACUGUAACGUACACUUAGCCCAGUUCUGGUUUUAUUCUCAUGCAAAUCUGAGAGUUUAUCCAGCAUAAAGUAGGUGAAACUAAGUUGAUGUUUAGGCCCUUAGUAUGAAAAGAAAUAAUAACAAACGUUUAUGCAGUCGCCACACUUGACUUCAGGAAGAAGCUUUAGAUAAGAUUCUGUUUGUAUAGUAGCUGUGGUGUUUUGUUGUGGUUUUUUUAAUAGAACCUCAUAGCUGGAAAAUAGAUUAAUCUCGUUAUCCAAGAGGAUUUUAUUUAAAAAAAAAAAAAAAAGAAAGAAAGAUGGUUAAAGCUGAGACUUGCUCACAGGUCUGUAAUGCAGUCGUUAUCUUAGUGUCUAUUAUAUACAGUGGCACCUGCAUUCAGCUGAAUUAGCAUUUUGCUUUUCCACAUGAACAAAAUAACUGCCUAAAAUUGUUGUAAGUGGAAGGUGAGAUCCUUUUCUUGUGAGGAUGUGUUAAUAUUUUUCCUUUUUUCUUUUUUUGACAGAAUUUGAUUAACACGGUUGUCCUGAGGAUGAAGCAGU